UACAGAGGUCCCAAGCGUUGUUCGGAAUCACUGGGCGUAAAGGGUGCGUAGGCGGCGGGGCAAGUCAGAUGUGAAAUGCCAGGGCUCAACCUUGGAACUGCAUCCGAUACUGCCUUGCUCGAGUACUGGAGGGGAGUCUGGAAUUCACGGUGGAGCAGUGAAAUGCGUGGAGAUCGUGAGGAACACUAGUGGCGUAGGCGAGACUCUGGACAGUUACUGACGCUGAGGCACGAAGGCCAGGGGAGCAAACGGG
rnacentral:rRNA from 1 species